UACGUAGGGGGCUAGCGUUGUCCGGAAUCAUUAGGCGUAAAGAGCGUGUAGGCGGCCCGGUAAGUCCGCUGUGAAAGUCGGGGGCUCAACCCUCGAAUGCCGGUGGAUACUGUCGGGCUCGAGUGCGGAAGAGGCGAGUGGAAUUCCUGGUGUAGCGGUGAAAUGCGCAGAUAUCAGGAGGAACACCAAUUGCGAAGGCAGCUCGCUGGGACGUUACUGACGCUGAGACGCGAAAGCGUGGGGAGCAAACAGG
rnacentral:rRNA from 1 species